rnacentral:rRNA from 1 species
AGGGUUUGAUCCUGGCUCAGAUUGAACGCUGGCGGCAGGCUUAACACAUGCAAGUCGAGCGGUAACAGAGAGUAGCUUGCUACUUUGCUGACGAGCGGCGGACGGGUGAGUAAUGCUUGGGAAUAUGCCUUAUGGUGGGGGACAACAGUUGGAAACGACUGCUAAUACCGCAUAACGUCUACGGACCAAAGGGGGGGAUCUUCGGACCUCUCGCCAUUUGAUUAGCCCAAGUGAGAUUAGCUAGUUGGUGAGGUAAAGGCUCACCAAGGCGACGAUCUCUAGCUGGUUUGAGAGGAUGAUCAGCCACACUGGGACUGAGACACGGCCCAGACUCCUACGGGAGGCAGCAGUGGGGAAUAUUGCACAAUGGGCGAAAGCCUGAUGCAGCCAUGCCGCGUGUGUGAAGAAGGCCUUCGGGUUGUAAAGCACUUUCAGUUGUGAGGAAAGGAGUGUAGUUAAUAGCUGCAUUCUGUGACGUUAACAACAGAAGAAGCACCGGCUAACUUCGUGCCAGCAGCCGCGGUAAUACGAGGGGUGCAAGCGUUAAUCGGAAUUACUGGGCGUAAAGCGUUCGUAGGCGGUCUAUUAAGCAAGAUGUGAAAGCCCAGGGCUCAACCUUGGAACUGCAUUUUGAACUGGUAGACUAGAGUACUGUAGAGGG